AAGGCUCUCUGGGGGUGGUGGGGGACAGGAUUUGGCUCUGCGGACGAGCAAGCCAUGAGGAACCCCAGGGUUCCGAGGAGAUCUGGCAGUGCGGAUUGGGGUCUGAGGGCGCAUUCUGCGACCGGUCGGCGGGGCGCGGGGAUCGGACACCCUUGCGUGCCCAGUGCAGACAACCCCAAAGGCAAGGCCGAGAGCGGGCAGCGAGCCCAGCGCGCGCCAACCGCUGCGGCCCCUCGGAGAGACCCGCCCAUCCGCCGUCACACCCUAUUCUCAUUGGUGCCUCUUCUGCGCAGAUUGGCUACCUCCGGAACCAAUAAACCAGGCUUGCAUCCUACUUCCGGUGAGAGCGAAGUUUGCUCCCUGGAGAAGCCGGAAGAGUGCGUUUGCGCGCGCUUGCCGAAGUCGCGGCAGCUCUGAGCGCAGUGGUGCGCGCCGGGAGGCGUGGCCGGGAGAGCAUUCAUAACGGGAAAGGUCAGGAGGGUUGGUGCCCUGGUGGACUGUAAGGGGCGGGGCCUGCAGGGAGUGGAGGAAUUAAAUGAAAUUGGGCGGGCCUUCAAUAAACCUUUAGAGGCUAGGGCUUAGUGGGCAAGGCCUUAAAGAGUGCUGUGUGGUCACGGUCUUUUGGCGAUGAGUGGAGCUGGUACUGAGUGGGCGGGGCCAUUAUGGGGCGGAGCCUGGCGUGGAAUUGUUAGCUGGGUCCUUUUUGCUCUGGAGCAUGAGACAUCGUACUCUAGCCUCUUUCCCGGCCCUGUGGGCCUCCAUCCCCUGUCCACGCUCGGAACUGCGCCUGGACCUGGUUCUGGCUUCCGGACAGUCCUUCCGGUGGAGGGAGCAAAACCCUGCGCACUGGACUGGCGUGCUGGGGAACCAAGUAUGGACACUGACCCAGACUGAGGAGCAGAUCUACUGUACUGUGUACCGAGGGGACAAGGGUUGGGUUGGCAGGCCCACACCAGACGAGCUAAAGACUGUGCACCAGUACUUCCAGCUGGAUGUCAGCCUGGCUCAACUAUAUCACCACUGGAGUUCCGUGGACCCCCACUUUCAAGAGGUGGCUCACAAAUUCCAAGGUGUUCGACUUCUGCAACAGGACCCUGUCGAGUGCCUUUUCUCCUUCAUCUGUUCCUCCAACAACAACAUUGCUCGCAUAACCAGCAUGGUGGAACGCCUCUGCCAGGCUUUUGGACCUCAGCUCAUCCAGCUGGAUGAUGUCACCUACCAUGGCUUCCCCAGCCUGCAGGCCCUGGCUGGGCCAGAGGUAGAAGCUCAGCUCAGGAAGCUGGGCCUGGGGUAUCGUGCCCGCUACGUGAAUGCCAGUGCCCGAGCCAUCCUAGAAGAACAGGGCGGGUUGCCCUGGCUGCAGCAGCUGCACAAGGCCCCCUACGAGGAGGCCCACAAGGCCCUCUGCACCUUGCCUGGAGUGGGCACCAAGGUAGCUGACUGCAUCUGCUUGAUGGCCCUAGACAAGCCCCAGGCUGUGCCCGUGGAUAUCCACAUGUGGCAGAUUGCCCAGCGUGACUACAGCUGGCACCCCACCAUGUCCCAGGCCAAGGGUCCAAGCCCCCAGGCUAACAAGGAACUGGGAACCCAGAGCUGCAGCCAAGAGCAGCCUCUGUUCCACCCACUGUCAGCCAGAAGUGAAAAGAUGAGCCAGGCUGGGCCAUGGCAAGGCCGCUGCAGGGCCUGGACUAUAGCAAACAGGAAGCAGUGAUAAACUGACCAGAGGAAGUACCACCCUGGAUGCAGUCGCCCUAGCCAGCCAGGCCCAAGAGUAAGGUUUAUUCAGCUCCAAAUCAAAACACUCAGGAGGAUGCUGACCUCCAGGAGAACAGCAGAGAAGACCCCAGAGCAGCUUGUACAAAGCUCUCAGCCAUGGCAACAAGGUCACUGAGUGAGGAAACAGGAGUAUGAAUGAGGAAAGGGAGGCAAGUAGAUGGAGUGAAUGAACAAAGGAGUCAGUCUUCAGUCUUCACAGACCAGAAAUAUUCUUUCAUUGCUCCCAUCGCUCUGGAAGCCUUCCCAAACUGAUUCCAGGAAGCUCUGAUCAUUUUAGAAAUGCCUCUUUUGUACUGAUACCAAAAGAAGACAACACAGAAGAGCAAUGAGAAAACACUCAACAACAGUAAAGAGAAGAGCCAAGGUUUGUUAAGCGUUUGGAAUGUAUGUUAAGCAUGUUGUGACAGAGGCUGCUGGCUGUCCAGCUACACUACAUUUCCCAGACUUCCUUGUGGUCAGAUGUGGCCAUGUGACAAACUCUCUCCAGUGGAAAGCGAUCAGAAGAGAUAAGAGCCACAGCCAGUCAUGGCCAUAAACCCCAUAAACCUUCCUUCACACAUUCUUCCUUGCUCUUUUUCUGUGGGCUUGGAGUAGUAAUCAUACCCAGAAUGACCUUGUGCAGAGCAGGUUUAGGGUGGCAAAACCAUCACAGAUGGGGUCCUUGUCUGAUGGGGUGGGGCUGAGAUCUCUCCCCUCCCCCACCUCAGCCAACCUGGAACACGUGGCCCAGACUGUUACACGAGAGAGAAAAACACUACUGUGUUUGAGCCAGGGAGAAAACUAAGGCUCAGUGAGGUGAAAGGAUGUGCCUAAGGCCAGAUAGUGGGCAUAAAGAAAGGGACUCUGUAUCUGGGGUUUGAAUCCUGCUUCUGCUUAUUAGCUGCAUGACUCCAAGCAAACAGUUCCUUUUUCUGAGCCUCAAUCUUCUAGUAUGUAACAUGGAGCAAACCACUGUCCUUGCCUCAACAAAAGGAUGCGUGGAAAGCCCCUUGCACAGGGGUCAGCCCUUAGCCAACAUUCAGCAAAAGUAACUGUGGUAUAGUGGCUACUUCUGGGAGAGGUUAC